GAGUUUGUGAUGGUCCCCAACAUCUC
rnacentral:piRNA from 1 species